rnacentral:rRNA from 1 species
CCUACGGGUGGCAGCAGUGGGGAAUAUUGGACAAUGGGCGAAAGCCUGAUCCAGCCAUGCCGCGUGUGUGAAGAAGGCCUUCGGGUUGUAAAGCACUUUCAGUGGGGAAGACAGCCUUGGGGCUAAUACCCUCGAGGAAGGACAUCACCCACAGAAGAAGCACCGGCUAACUCCGUGCCAGCAGCCGCGGUAAUACGGAGGGUGCGAGCGUUAAUCGGAAUUACUGGGCGUAAAGCGCGCGUAGGCGGUCUGAUAAGCCGGUUGUGAAAGCCCCGGGCUCAACCUGGGAACGGCAUCCGGAACGGUCAGGCUAGAGUGCAGGAGAGGAAGGUAGAAUUCCCGGUGUAGCGGUGAAAUGCGUAGAGAUCGGGAGGAAUACCAGUGGCGAAGGCGGCCUUCUGGACUGACACUGACGCUGAGGUGCGAAAGCGUGGGUAGCAAACAGGAUUAGAUACCCUGGUAGUC